rnacentral:rRNA from 1 species
GACGAACGCUGGCGGCGUGCCUAAUACAUGCAAGUGGAACGCAUUGGUAACACCGGACUUGCUCCAGUGUUACUAAUGAGUCGCGAACGGGUGAGUAACGCGUAGGUAACCUGCCUGAUAGCGGGGGAUAACUAUUGGAAACGAUAGCUAAUACCGCAUAAGAGGAGUUAACUCAUGUUAACUGUUUAAAAGAAGCAAUGGCUUCACUAUCAGAUGGACCUGCGUUGUAUUAGCUAGUAGGUAGGGUAACGGCCUACCUAGGCAACGAUACAUAGCCGACCUGAGAGGGUGAACGGCCACACUGGGACUGAGACACGGCCCAGACUCCUACGGGAGGCAGCAGUAGGGAAUCUUCGGCAAUGGACGCAAGUCUGACCGAGCAACGCCGCGUGAGUGAAGACGGUUUUCGGAUCGUAAAGCUCUGUUGUAGGGGAAGAACGUGUGUAAGAGUGGAAAUGCUUACACAGUG